rnacentral:hammerhead_ribozyme from 1 species
GUACUGAUGAAGAGUCCCAAACUAGGACGAAGUGGCUGUCCAGUAC